GACUCUCUGCAACGAAUUUCUAGGCUCUCGCAUCGAUGAAGAAUGUAGCGAAAUGCGAUACUUGGUAGGAAUUGUAGAAUUCCGCGAAUCAUUGAGUUUUUGAACGCAAGUUGCGCUCGAAGCCAUUCGGCCGAGGGCACGUCUGCUUGGGUGUCA